AUGGCGAUGCACUCUCAUGAUUCGCCGCCGGCGAACUCCCUUCCUGAUCCCACCCCUGAUCAGGGUGGAUCCGGCAAAGGAGCUAGAGCUGAUGUUGCCAGGAAGACGAAGGAGGUUGAUCAUCUGUUGGCAAAAUUAGAAAAUAAGGGAGUGGAGAUAGAUGGCAAGAUAGCUAGUAUUAUUGAUGAUGGGAUAGCUAGAAUUAGAGAUGAAGCUGGCGAGGUAAUUAAUUAAUUUGGAGGCG
rnacentral:lncRNA from 1 species